rnacentral:lncRNA from 1 species
AUGCCAGCACAUUUGAAAACUCAGCAGUGGCCACAGGAUUGGAAAACGUCAGUUUUCAUUCCAAUUCCAAAGAACGGAAAUGCAAAAGAAUGCUCAAACUACCACACAAUUGCACUCAUCUCACAUGCUAGUAAAGUAAUGCUCAAAAUUCUCCAAGCCAGGCUUCAGCAAUACGUGAACCAUAAACUUCCAGAUGUUCAAGCUGGUUUUAGAAAAGGCAGAGGAACCAGAGAUCAAAUUGCCAACAUCCGCUGGAUCAUGGAAAAAGCAAGAGAGUUCCAGAAAAACAUCUAUUUCUGCUUUAUUGACUAUGCCAAAGCCUUUGACUGUGUGGAUCACAAUAAACUGUGGAAAAUUCUGAAGGAGAUGGGCAUACCAGACCACCUGACCUGCCUCUUGAGAAACCUAUGUUCAGGUCCGGAAGCCACAGUUAGAACUGGACAUGGAACAACAGACUGGUUCCAAAUAGGAAAAGGAGUACGUCGAGGCUGUAUAUUGUCACCCUGCUUAUUUAACUUAUAUGCAGAGUACAUAAUGAGAAACGCUGGACUGGAAGAAGCACAAGCUGGAAUCAAGAUUGCCGGGAAAAAUAUCAAUAACCUCAGAUAUGCAGAUGACACCACCCUUAUGGCAGAAAGUGAAGAGGAACUCAAAAGCUUCUUGAUGAAAGUGAAAGAGGAGAGUGAAAAAGUUGGCUUAAAGCUCAACAUUCAGAAAAUGAAGAUCAUGCCAUGUGAUCCCAUCACUUCAUGGGAAAUAGAUAGGGAAACAGUGGAAACAGUGUCAGACUUUAUUUUUCUGGGCUCCAAAAUCACUGCAGAUGGUGAUUGCAGCCAUGAAAUUAAAAGACGCUUACUCCUUGGAAGGAAAGUUAUGACCAACCUAGAUAGCAUAUUCAAAAGCAAAGACAUUAGUUUGCCAACAAAGGUCCAUCUAGUCAAGGCUCUGGUUUUUCCAGUAGUCAUGUGCGGAUGUGAGAGUUGGACUGUGAAGAAAGCUGAGCACAAAAGAAUUGAUGCUUUUCAACUGUGA